AGUGAACGCUGGCGGUAGGCCUAACACAUGCAAGUCGAACGGCAGCACAGUAAGAGCUGGCUCUUACGGGUGGCGAGUGGCGGACGGGUGAGGAAUACAUCGGAAUCUACUUUUUCGUGGGGGAUAACGUAGGGAAACUUACGCUAAUACCGCAUACGACCUACGGGUGAAAGCAGGGGAUCUUCGGACCUUGCGCGAUUGAAUGAGCCGAUGUCGGAUUAGCUAGUUGGCGGGGUAAAGGCCCACCAAGGCGACGAUCCGUAGCUGGUCUGAGAGGAUGAUCAGCCACACUGGAACUGAGACACGGUCCAGACUCCUACGGGAGGCAGCAGUGGGGAAUAUUGGACAAUGGGCGAAAGCCUGAUCCAGCCAUACCGCGUGGGUGAAGAAGGCCUUCGGGUUGUAAAGCCCUUUUGUUGGGAAAGAAAAGCAGCAGGUUAAUACACAGCUGUUCUGACGGUACCCAAAGAAUAAGCACCGGCUAACUUCGUG
rnacentral:rRNA from 1 species